rnacentral:pre_miRNA from 1 species
GAUUUGGCUGUUGUGGUGUGCAAAACUUUGUGCCUUGCUUUUUGCCACACUGCAACACUUUACAGA